rnacentral:rRNA from 1 species
CCUACGGGAGGCAGCAGUGAGGAAUAUUGGUCAAUGGGCGCGAGCCUGAACCAGCCAAGUCGCGUGAGGGAAGACGGUCCUAUGGAUUGUAAACCUCUUUUGUCGGGGAGCAAAAGACGCCACGUGUGGCGUUCCGAGAGUACCCGAAGAAAAAGCAUCGGCUAACUCCGUGCCAGCAGCCGCGGUAAUACGUAGGUGGCAAGCGUUGUCCGGAAUUACUGGGUGUAAAGGGAGCGUAGGCGGGAUGUCAAGUCAGAAGUGAAAAUUAUGGGCUCAACUCAUAACCUGCUUUUGAAACUGAUAUUCUUGAGUGAAGUAGAGGCAAGCGGAAUUCCUAGUGUAGCGGUGAAAUGCAUAGAUAUCACGCAGAACUCCGAUCGCGAAGGCAGCCUACCGGCGCGCAACUGACGCUCAUGCACGAAAGCGUGGGUAUCGAACAGGAUUAGAUACCCGAGUAGUC